rnacentral:sRNA from 1 species
UGCGAGUUAGGGAUUGAAAUGGAAAUCCUUUUUAUGAGGUACGAUUAAAAAGAUUGUAAUAUAAAGCCCGACCCUUU